rnacentral:lncRNA from 1 species
UUUAUAUUCUGUAAUUACCAGCUUUGGCUCAUUGUGGGCUGCCUUAUCCUUACAUUUGCUUACCACUGUUUCUGGCCUUGGUUCUGCAACUAGCCCUUCCUCAUCUUGAAUGACAGUCGCAUUGAGUUGCUUCCUUGGGUUAAAUUUAGUGUUGCUUGGUAGGCUAUGUUUUGGUCGUUCGGAAAUCAACUUGACGAGCUGUCCAAUUUGAGUUUCAAACCCC